GCAUAUCACUAAGCGGAGGAAAAGAAACUAACUAGGAUUCCCCCAGUAACUGCGAGUGAAGAGGGAAGAGCUCAUCAUUGGAAUCUGGCAGUGUUGCACUGUCCGAGUUGUAGAUGAGGAGUAGUCCGUCUGGACUGCAUGGCGUCCAAGUACAAUAGGCCGUCAGUGGGACAUCAUAGAGGGUGACAAUCCCGUCCUUGACGCCAAUGUGCAAGUCUAUUACGAUGGCUAUCUCAGAGAGUCGAGCAGUUUGGGAUUUGCUGCUUAAACAUGGGAGGUAGAUUCCUUCUAAAGCUAAAUACAGGCGAGAGACCGAUAGAGAACAAGUACCGCAAGGGAAAGAUGAAAUAGCACUCUGUGAAGGGAGUCAAAAGGCGUGAAAUUGUUGCGAGAGAAGCGAUUCAAGUCAGCGUAGCUAGGCCCAUCAAGCGUCUUCGCUUUGGACUAGCUUUGCCAGCGGUCUUGUCCCUUGAAGAGACUUGACUUGUAAUAUGUCCAGCCUGGCGUGCACAGGCAGCCCCUUCUGGGGGCCAGUGGCAUGGCUGGUGGAAUGGCUUGCAAUCGACCCGUCUUGAAACACGGACCAAGGAGUCUAACAUGUAUGCGAGUAUAAGGGUGGCAAACCCGUAUGCGCAAUGAAAGUGAUUUUCGGUGAUUGAGAAUGGCCUGAUGACCAGACAAGCAAUAUAUGUCCCUCGUACGGCCAUUGCCCAAGUUCCGUGGUAGAUCCCACGAACAUGGAGUUGGAGCAUACAUGCUAGGACCCGAAAGAUGGUGAACUAUGCCUGGACAAAGCGAAGCCAAAGGAAACUCUGGUGGAGGCUUGUAGCGAUUCUGACGUG
rnacentral:rRNA from 1 species